rnacentral:rRNA from 1 species
CAGUCGCCCGGUAAAACGUAGGGUGCAAGCGUUAAUCGGAAUUACUGGGCGUAAAGCGUGCGCAGGCGGUUAUAUAAGACAGAUGUGAAAUCCCCGGGCUCAACCUGGGAACUGCAUUUGUGACUGUAUAGCUAGAGUACGGCAGAGGGGGAUGGAAUUCCGCGUGUAGCAGUGAAAUGCGUAGAUAUGCGGAGGAACACCGAUGGCGAAGGCAAUCCCCUGGGCCUGUACUGACGCUCAUGCACGAAAGCGUGGGGAGCAAACAGGAUUAGAUACCCCCGUAGUCCCUGUCUCUUAUACA